AGUGAACGCUGGCGGCAGGCCUAACACAUGCAAGUCGAACGGCAGCACAGUACGUGCUCGCUCUUACGGGUGGCGACUGGCGGGCAGGGCAGGAGAACCUCCGUAUCUACUUUUUCGUAGGGGAUAAAGUAGGGAAAAUUACGCCAUUACCGCAGACGAACUACGGGUGAAAUCAUCGGACCUUCCGACCUUACACGAUUGAAUGAGCCGAGGUCGGAUUAGCUAGUUAGAGGGGUAAAGGCCCACCAAGGCGACGAUCCGUAGCUGGUCUGAGAGGAUGAUCAGUCACACUGGAACUGAGACACGGUCCAGACUCCUACGGGAGGCAGCAGUGGGGAAUAUUGGACAAUGGGCGCAAGCCUGAUCCAGCCAUACCGCGUGUGUGAAGAAGGCCUUCGGGUUGUAAAGCCCUUUUGUUUGGGAAGAAAAGCAGCAGGUUAAUACCCCGCUGUUCUGACGGUACCCAAAGAAUAAGCACCGGCUAACUUCGUG
rnacentral:rRNA from 1 species